rnacentral:tRNA from 1 species
GGAGAGCUGUCCGAGCUGGCCGAAGGAGCACGAUUGGAAAUCGUGUAUGCCCCAAAAGGGUAUCUGGGGUUCGAAUCCCCAGCUCUCCGCCA